rnacentral:lncRNA from 1 species
AUUAGUACAACUUUAGGAUAUAUAUAUUGUCAUUACCAUACUAUAUUUUCAACAUAUAUUACAUUAAUUUGAUAUAUAUUACUCCAUUCUCAACACACAUAUAUAAAAGGGAAUUAUAAAAAUUAAGAACAUAACAUUUAUAUAGUGCUAUUAUUGGUUCAUGGCCAUCGUCAUUAUUUCUUUUUUAAGCUUCCUUGCUAAUGCUUUCUUCCUCCUCUACCGAGCAAUUUCUUUAGGGAUUUUUUGUGAUGUCGCCGUCCUUGACAACGCUAAUCUCGAACAAAUGUCGUGGCGGGGGUGGAAAUGGAUUAUGUCUUGGAUUAGCUCCCGGAUCAGGAUAGUCAUUUAUCAUAUACGCCACUUCUUGGUUUUCUGAUAUCAUAUUAGAUUUUAGUUUUAUAUCUAUUAAUUAUACAAAUCUAGAACUAUUCCUCAAUAGGUUAAUUAACAAUUUUGCGUACCUGAAUGGGGUAUGAUUCGAGCUGAGGUAACGAGGACAAAUGAGAGCAAGAGGAGGAGGGAGAGACGCGCUUUGGAAUAAUCCAUGUUAGUUGUGGUUUUGUCGAUGGUUUGAAUGAUUGGUAAUGGGGAUUUAGGAAGUAAAGAAAAUCAAUAUUUAUAUAAAUUUACGUAGUGAGAAAUGAAGAAACU